UUGAAGUCAGCCGCAUACUCCUCUCGGCUUUGCUACAAUGGCAGUAACGCUAUGAGCCUCCAAACCAGCAACCAUCUCCUUCACCCUCCUUUUAGACCUAUCGAACCUCCCUCUCUGUAUCUCCUUUUCCAUCUUCCGGCUUGUCUCUUCCUCAAGCUCAAAAGAAGAGCAGCAGCUCCAUUUCCCUCUCCAUCUCCCUUGGUUAUCAAACAGCAACGUGAGGCAGAGCAGGACAGUGCGGUGGCGGAAGUCGAGCUCUCCUUCUCCGGUGUGACGGUUAGUCCAGCGAAACAGAGCAUCGAGCGCUCUCCUCACCUCCGGUGAAGCAGCUUGUGGACCGGCAAAGCCUGGGCAGUCUCUCCGGCGGUGUUUUCGGUCUUCUUCGAAGAAGUAGGCAGCGGGCACAUGAGCGGGUGGUGGACCUUCUAUGCUCCACCCGCUGGAACCUCAACCUUGAAGCAGCGGCGAGGGUGUUUUCCGGCGAAAGAAGAUCGGCGGCGUGAUGGUGGUAACAGGUGGUGCUGGCCUGGUGGGUGGCGUUGGCUCUGUUGCUCCUUGGCAGUAUGCAUAGUUGAAGAGGAAGGAAAAGGGUUAGGUAGCUUUGGAGAGCGCGCUAGUGGCUUGUAGAUAGAUUAUCUCUUCCUUUAAUAGUUGUUGAGGCCUGUGAGCCUAAGUAAUUGAUUUGUUAGACUGCUGUAGUUGUAGUAGCUGCCUGUGCACCUAUGUUUGUUAUAGGUGUGGCAUAGCACCUUCUGGUUUGUUUAGUUA